rnacentral:rRNA from 1 species
GGUUUGAUUAUGGCUCAGAUUGAACGCUGGCGGGAUGCUUUACACAUGCAAGUCGAACGGCAGCACGGACUUCGGUCUGGUGGCGAGUGGCGAACGGGUGAGUAAUGUAUCGGAACGCCUUUAGUAGCGGGAUAACUACGCGAAAGCGUAGCUAAUACCGCAUACGCCCUUCGGGGGAAAGCGGGGACCUUCGGGCCUCGCACUAUUAGAGCGGCCGAUAUCGGAUUAGCUAGUUGCGGGGGUGUUCACCAUGACGAUCCGUAGCUGGUUUGAGAGGACGACCAGCCACACUGGGAUCACGACACGGCCCAGACCUUCCUACGGGAGGCAGCAGUGGGAAUUUUGGACAAUGGGGAAACUCUGAUCCAGCCAUCCUGCGUGUGCGAUGAAGGCCUUCGGGUUGUAAAGCACUUUUGGCAGGAGGUGCUAAAACGGCACGGGAUAAUACCCCGUGCAACUGACGGUACCUGCAGAAUAAGCACCGGUUAACCACGUGCCAGCAGCCGCGGCAAUACGUAGGGUGCAAGCGUUAAUCGGAAUUACUUGCUAAAGCGUGCGCAGGCGGUUCGGAAAGAAAGAUGUGAAAUCCCAGAGCUUAACUUUUGGAACUGCAUUUUUAACUACCGAGCUAGAGUGUGUCAGAGGAGGUGGAAUUCGCGUGUAGCAGUGAAAUGCGUAGAUAUGCGGAGGAACACCGAUGGCGAAGGCAGCCUCCUGGGAUAACACUGACGCUCAUGCACGAAAGCGUGGGAGCAAACAGGAUUAGAUACUCCUGGUAGUCCACGCCCUAAACGAUGUCAACUAGCUGUUGGGGCCUUCGGGCCUUGGUAGCGCAGCUAACGCGUGAAGCUGACCGCCUGGGGAGUAAGUACGGUCGCAAGAUUAAAACUCAAAGGAAUUGACGGGGACCCGCACAAGCGGUGGAUGAUGUGGAUUAAUCUGAUGCAACGCGAAAAACCUUACCUACCCUUGAUACGUCUGAACCGAAGAGAUUUGGGAGUGCUCGCAAGAGGAACACAGGUGCUGGGCAUGGCUGUCGUCAGCUCGUGUCGUGAGAUGUUGGGUUAAGUCCCGCAACGAGCGCAACCCUUGUCAUUAGUUGCUACGAAAGGGCACUCUAUCAAAGAGAUAUACGUCAAAAGACCGACAAAACCACUCACUCCCUGCCGGUGACAAACCGGAGGAAGGUGGGGAUGACGUCAAGUCCUCUCGCGGCCCUUAUGGGGUAGGGCUUCACACGUCAUACAAUGGUCGAUGAGGGUCACAACCCGCGAGGGAGCCAAUCCCAGAAACCCGAUCGUAGUCCGACUGCAGUCUGCAACUCGACUGCGUGAAGCCUGGAAUCGCCAGUAAUCGCGGAUCAGCAUGUCGCGGUGAAUACGUUCCCGGGUCUUGUACACACCGCCCGUCACGACCAUGGGAGUGGGUUUUACCAGAAGUAGUUAGCCUAACCGUAAGGAGGGCGAUUACCACGGUAGAUUCAUGAUCAGUGAAGUCGUAACAAGGUAG